rnacentral:lncRNA from 1 species
CCUCGUCUUUGGUGGUUGAGUGCUGCCACUUGACUCCUGUUGCCCGUUGCCCUGGGAUCCAUAUGUUCCCAAUCUUUAAGGUUUUCCAAUUGAGUGUCUGUGGUUCCCACUCUAAAGCCUAGCCUACAGAGAAGAGCCCCUGAAGAGCCCUCUUCAAGGGGCUCUUCAAGGAUGCUGGACUCCCUUCACAAAUUUAUUCCUCAAAGCAUUAGUCCUGUGGACCCUCAGUGUGGGUGAGUAGGUCUUAAAUGAGUACACUGUAACAUUACAGUCUCCCUACACCUCUGAACUCCUUCCUCUAUAUUAAAACAAAGCAGGUCAGCCAUUUACAAUUGGCCUUCUUUUGGUCCAUGUUUCAGCCAAUUAAUCAACAAACUGUUAGAGCCCUUUCUAACUCCCCUGCAGCAUUAAAUGCAAAAUCUCUGGUUAGUGAUCCCAUAUCAAUAAAUUUGGCCUGACCCAACUUUGUGCUUCUUUCAUGUUAUCCCACAUCCUCAAUAUCCAUCGAUGUUCCCUGGAGUCUGUUGGUAUAAAUUAGAAAACUUAAAUAGUUCUUUUGGAGCAUAUUGUACCUCCUCAUGGGUCAUGUUUUGUAUCUCACCAUUAGGGGUCUUCUGGGAUUUGACUCCAGUUAUAGGUCUAGAAGCAAAGUGGGAUGAUGGGGAUGGAUCCUGAAGAGAAUCAGCACUGUCUUGCAUGCUGGUUAUAUCAGAAGAAAUCAUUACUGUUUCCUCAGGUAAUACCAGGUUAGCCCCUCAAAUGUAGAUGAAGAAGCUGCUACCACCUACAGUAGAGGUAGAAAAAGCUCUUCCCCUGCAAAGAAGACUCAUCAGAGUACAGGGGUUCAAUGUUUCCAGCUUCAUCAGAGUCUUCCCAUAUGUCCCUAGUCCCACUUACAGGAUCUCAUUCUUCCCAAUCAAUGCCUUUGCUAUAACAGUAAACACCUUGUGAAGCUGGGAGUUCAGCUUACAUUGUAAUACAGCUAAUAACAAAAUGAGGUUCUGUGUUUGAUUUUCACCAGUUUCAGCCCUGUGGCUGGAGGAGAUAAGAUUCUCCUUCAGGGCACACAUAGGAGCUCUUAGGUCAUUUAUGGGAUGCUUGAGCUGAGAAAUGGGAUCCCUUAGUUCAUCCUUUUCUUUCACUACUUGUCCAACAAUGUUAGAGGCAACCAACCAAUGGCAUUAUCCCUUAGUUUCCAAAAAAUGUUCAGAAGUAUCAUAUACAGCAUCACUUAUCUCUUUGCUUCAUAUAGUAGUUGAUCAGAAGUACCUAGUGCAGAUAUUUUAUGUAUCUCUAUACAUAGCUCGCCAUGGACUAUUAGUCUUUAUAUAAGAUUAGAGAGCCAGUUUCAGAAACCCCAGAACCAAUUCAGAAAACUCAUUCUUAAAAUUCUGUUCCUCUAGAAUCACUCCUGGUAUCAAAUCUGUAUUAGAGUCCUUCAGAGAAAUAGAACCAGCAGGCUAUGUGCUUACAUGAUUAUGGAGCCUAAGAAGUCUCAUGAUCUGCCAUUUGCAAGCUGAAAGCAAGGGAAGCUGGUGGUAUAAUUUAUUCUAAGUAUAAAGGCCUAAGAAUCAGUGGAGCAUAUGAUUUAGGAGUCCAUCUAAAUCUGAAGGA